UCACUAUCAAUACAUUUGGAUAUAAACCUAAAAUCUAUUCUGGAUUAUCUGGAACCUGUUUUGUUACUCCAAGUGAACAAUCUGCCGGCCAUAAACCUCUCUCCAUGUAUCAGUAAGAUCAAACUGUUUCAUAAAAAGUAUUAAACCCAAAUUCUGACAGGUUGAAGAAAAAAAAGACACCCUCGUUCACUUACCCUCGCCUUAUAUCCUUGGGGUAAUCCCUGUCACCAUUUUGGAUGUUGGUCCAAACGAUUAGCCAAACAAGGAUUAUUCGCAAUGUAAGCCCCUCAGCCCUUCUUUCUGAUCGAGUUUACGAGUGUACAAUUAUUUUCACUUCAGGCCCGAAACGCCCCACAAUUCAAUUCGCGAUGAUUGUACAUCCGCCAAGAAAAAUAAGCCAAAACUUUAGACCUCAACGUCAAUAUGGAUAAGUAAACAUACAAGUAAUCUAAUGUAAAAAGGUUAGAAAUUGUGCUACUGAUGGACAUGACGGCACAAACACAUCUCAUAAAAGUAGUCAUAUUUUUGUUUGGUUUGCUUUUGGAAUUUUUUUAAUUAAACAUUUUCCUUCUUCAGAAGUUCCAGCUAGGCAGGCUAACUUUAUUUAGCUAAUUAAUUUGCUAGCUAUCAUACAGUAGGCAUAUAUUAAUAAUUAUAUAGUUAAUAUAGACAUGCAAUCAUAAUUGACUGUAGCACAUAUAAAGCACCCACAAGCUACCGGUGGCUGAAAACACAAUCAUCUCUGGAUGAACAGUGACAAAUUUCCAUUUGAAAAUAAUUCCUUCCGCCCUUGCCCUGCAAGUGUAUACUUGUCAGACUUCAUUUAACAUCAUCAGAAGUGUCCACUUAAUUUGAGGGCUGAGGGGAUAGGGUGUCUUUUAAGUGUUUGGAAUGCUGCCCAUGAGUCAUUGUGGAAAAUGUUACAUUUGUCAGUACUAUACACAAUGCAUGCAUUUCAUUACAGCAUGUUGUUUCAUCAGACACUGGGCUGAGGACGUGUGGGAGGACCGCAUCACAAAUACAUGGGUUAGAUUAAUAUUAAUCUUUGGCUGCAUUCAUCCUGAAGUAGAGACCAAGGUGGAAAUAAUGGGAUUCGGAUACUUACCGACCUUCCUACAACAAGAGUCAACAGUCUUUGAGCCCCACCUUGUACCAGACAUUUUGAUAAGGUAUGCAAAGUAUAGGUGUUCAACUGAUCCUGGCUAGGGGGCUGAUGUUUCUUUGGGGGGGCUUUAUUUGCACCCUGCCUGGAGAAAGAUGUGUGUAUUAACCAGACAGUCCGAAUCCACCCAUCCUCAAACUUGGUUCCCGUGUAUUAGUGAAUGUUUGUGUACCAUUUCAUUCAGGAUCCGAUGCUGAAAGGACAGCGCUGUUUCAUCUUGGCUGACGGCUUUUAUGAAUGGAGGCAGGAGAAAGACAAGCAGCCCUUCAUCUAUUUCCCCCAGACUCAAGGAUCUGCUCACGUGAAAACAGAGGACCAGGAUGAGGGGACACCCUAUAAGGAGGAUACAGACAUGCAUGUCUGAAGAAGGCUCUGUAGACCUGGAAGAGGACAAAGGAGUCUGUGAGUGGAGAGGAUGGCUGUUGCUGACCAUUGCAGGACUGUUUGACUGAUGGACUCCCCAUAGUGGAGAUCCCCUCUAGACCUACACUGUGAUCACUCUGGGUACAUCCCCUAUCAUCAAGGCAUCCAUGACCGGAUGCCAGCGAUUCUCAACAGAGGUUAGAAGAUUGCUGGAUUUUGGAGCUCAAGCCCUCAGCUGGCAGUAAGAUGAUGAUGGGCUGGCUAAAGAGCAGCACACCCUCCAAGAGGAAAGAGCCAGACACUGGGGAAGUCAAACAGGAGGGCCACACAGGAGAAACCAGGCCUGAGAAGCAGCCGAAGACCGCAGGGCCUCUCCAACAGUGGCUGCAGGGACCCAGUAAGAAACCCAGGAUCAACUGAGUGGUUGGGACAAACAUUGACUGACUUUGAAAAGAGAUGGGAACAGACUGAAGAAUGUAUGUCUUAUUGUCUUGAGAUGGAAGAGCGCAAAUGGUUUGAUUAUUUUUAUGUCUGGUGUAGGUUGAAGAUAAUGUAAUUAAACAUUUGACAGAUUUCGAUGGUCCCGUGUUCUGUCAACUUUCACAAGUGACCAAUUUUUAUAUUUCAGUAUAAGUAGUAGACUGAAUACAAAUACCAAGUGAGUGCCCCCAUGCAAAAUGACACAUUUCAAUGUAUUCAAGAGUAUACUAUAGAUUUGAGUAAACUGUCUUUCAACAGCUGUGUGUAUGAGAGCCAUGAUAGUAACCUACUGUGCUUUAACUACCUGUUCUACUUGCACUAACACACACAGAUUCUUUAUUCAAUAACCAUUAUUACUACCUGAAACCCAAAGACAUUUUCAAACAAUGUAGAUUAAGUGCAUUUAUCAUUUCAUUAACUUGAUUAAAGCUAACACAUUUCCCCCAUAUGUCCUCUGAUGCAAUUCAAAUUCUAAACAUAAUAUGUGAACAGACAAAAGAUCUGAUCGGUAAAAAACAAAACAAAUCAAG